rnacentral:tRNA from 1 species
GCCUCUGUAGCUCAGCUGGUAGAGCACCUGUCUUGUAAACAGGCGGUCGCAGGUUCGAAUCCUGUCGGGGGCUCAA